GGUAAUUCCAGCUCCAAUAGCGUAUAUUAAAUUUGUUGCGGUUAAAAAGCUCGUAGUUGGAUCUCGGCGGGCAGGGGGCGGUCCGUUAUUUGACGCGACUGCCCCAUUUGCCCGUGUAUCUUCGGCGGAACUCCCGGGGUGCUCUUCGCCGAGUGUCCCGUUGGGGGCCGCCAGCUUUACCUUGAAAAAAUUAGAGUGCUUAAAGCAGGCUCGACACGCCUGGAUAUUUGUGCAUGGAAUAAUGGAAUAGGACGUCGUUCCUAUUUUGUUGGUUUUCGGGAAUCGACGUAAUGAUUAAUAGGGACAGCCGGGGGCAUUAGUAUUCAGACGACAGAGGUGAAAUUCUUGGACCGUCUGGCGACUCACUGCUGCGAAAGCGUUUGCCAAGUAUGUUUUCAUUAAUCAAGAACGAAAGUUAGAGGUUCGAAGGCGAUCAGAUACCGCCCUAGUUCUAACCAUAAACGAUGCCAGCUAGCGAUCCGCAGACGUUUUUAUUGUAGGCUCUGCGGGAAGCUUCCGGGAAACCAAAGCUAUUGGGUUCCGGGGGAAGUAUGGUUGCAAAGCUGAAACUUAAAGAAAUUGACGGAAGGGCACCACCAGGCGUGGAACUUGCGGCUUAAUUUGACUCAACACUGGAAAUCUCACCAGGCCCGGACACCGGAAGGAUUGACAGAUUGAGAGCUCUUUCUCGAUUCGGUGGGUGGUGGUGCAUG
rnacentral:rRNA from 1 species